rnacentral:rRNA from 1 species
AAAUNAAUUAAGUGAUGNNANGGNUAACAUNGAANNNAGUGUUUACCNNUCNNGGCUUANAANUNNNGCCAGCGUCUAAUAGGUAGUGGUCGGGUUAAAGGCCACCCAAGCCNNGAUUCAGUAUGCUGUUCUGAGAGGAUGAUCAGGCACACUGGANCUGAGACACCGUUCAAACUCCUACGGGAGGCAGCAGUAGGGAUAUUGCUCAAUGGGAGAAAUCCUGAAGCAGCAACGCCGCGUGAGGNAUGAAAUACNUUUUGUAUGUAAACUCCUGUCAGAAGGGAAAAAUAUGCAAUUAUUUUGCGUUGAUUGUACCUUCAGAGUAAGCCCCGGCUAACUACGUGCCAGCAGCCGCGGUAAUACGUAGGGGGCUAGAGUUGUCCGGAUUUACUGGGUGUAAAGGGUGCUCAGGCGGAUUUGUAAGUCAGAGGUGAAAUCCCAAAGCUUAACUUUGGAGCUGCCUUUGAUACUGCAAGUCUUGAGUGUGAGAGAGGGUAAUGGAAUAUCUGGUGUAGCAGUGAAAUGCGUAGAUAUCAGAUAGAACACCAAUGGCGAAGGCAGUUACCUGGCUCAAUACUGACGCUAAAGCACGAAAGUGUGGGGAGCAAACAGGAUUAGAUACCCUGGUAGUCCACACCCUAAACGAUGAAUACUAGAUGUUGGUCCUUUUCAGGGUCAGUAUCCAAGCUAACGCAUUAAGUAUUCCACCUGGGAAGUACAAUCGCAAGGUUGCCCACUCAAAGGAAUUGACGGGGGCCCGCACAAGCAGUGGUAGCAUGUGGUUUAAUUCGACGCAACGCGAAGAACCUUACCUAGGCUUGAAGCGCAAUGUUAAUCCUGAUGACAAGUCGGGGUGCCGUCAAGGCGAACUUGUACAGGUGCUGCAUGGUCUGUCGUCAGCUCGUGC